rnacentral:rRNA from 1 species
AGCGAACGCUGGCGGCAGGCCUAACACAUGCAAGUCGAACGAACUCUUCGGAGUUAGUGGCGGACGGGUGAGUAACACGUGGGAACGUGCCUUUUGGUUCGGAAUAACUCAGGGAAACUUGUGCUAAUACCGAAUGUGCCCUUCGGGGGAAAGAUUUAUCGCCAUUAGAGCGGCCCGCGUCUGAUUAGCUAGUUGGUGAGGUAACGGCUCACCAAGGCGACGAUCAGUAGCUGGUCUGAGAGGAUGACCAGCCACACUGGGACUGAGACACGGCCCAGACUCCUACGGGAGGCAGCAGUGGGGAAUCUUGCGCAAUGGGCGAAAGCCUGACGCAGCCAUGCCGCGUGAAUGAUGAAGGUCUUAGGAUUGUAAAAUUCUUUCACCGGGGACGAUAAUGACGGUAUCCGGAGAAGAAGCCCCGGCUAACUUCGUG